UUUUCGAAGGCGCUAUCGCGAACUUUUGCAUGACAAAGGUAAAAAGCACCGUCAAAGUGUGGUCAAAGUGAGUGACAUCGACAUGUGCCACUGGACAAAAUCCAGAUACCAAUCCAAUGGACCGAUAGAGCGUGCGGAUGGGCGAACGUCAAUGUGCAUCAUCAAAAACAAAGCAUAGUGCUGGCGCUUAUUAUGAUGUCAUCUCCUGUGAUGCAAACUGUAAGCACCCCGUCAUUGUACAGUAAGAGCAAUAACGUGCUAGAUGGUUGUUGCGAGCCCCGAUUGAGAAAUUGAGGGGCGUUAUCCACUCGCAUGUUUAUUAACCGUCCCAGUAUCUGUCAUCUCUUUGUAGCGUGUCUUAUCUCCAGAGACCUUUAAUCGUGCAAUAGGACUGAUCAUGAAGUGCAAUAGCGUCUUGCGGCUGUUGUGUGGAUACUAUCUAGGCAUGGAAAUAUGCAUGUUGUUGCACUACACUGAACACGGAAUUUGAGCAGAUUUUGCUUUCCCAGGUUAUGAAAAUACCGGAGCAAAACCGAACGAGGUCCCCAUUUUCCCUGGAUUCACAUCAUGCCACAGCAGAGGAGACCAAUGAAAAACAGUUCUUCAGGGCUGUUUCUGCAAAAGACAGUGCUAAAGGAGGCUGGAGACCUUUUGGAUGCAUCAUUACUUUUUUAGGUUAACUAUUGCAGGUACAUAACCAUAACCAAUCAAUGACAGUUUUUGUGCAUUGUAUAAGCACAGAUAUUCUGGAGAUCAUUGCUUAAAAAAUCUCUGUUGUGGACUCAUUUGUCACAACAACUUUGUAUUUGUGAGAUUUUUGUUUAUAUUCAGACAAUAAAGGCUAUUACGUAGUU